GUUGCCUUCUUCUCUGCCCUCUGCUCCUCAGAUUGGACCUGGCCUGUGGACAGAAGUAUGUAUCCUUGGUCUCAUGCCCUUAGGACCCUCCUGAGAGGAGCUGCCCAUGAGUAAUGGAUGAGUCCUGUGGACAGGAGGAUGGCUCCAUAUUCUGGUGCCCAUAGGACUGUGCUGAGGCGGAGCAGCAGCCCUGUAUUGGCGGAGGCCCAUGGACACCAAGAUGGCUCCAUGCUCAGGUGUGAUAACCCCAUGGUGGGCGGGAGAUGCAGAGAAGUAUUGGACCUGGCCUGUGGAAAGGAGGCUGGCUCCAUGUUCUCAGGCCCUUAGGACCCUCCUGAGAGGAGCUGCCCAUGAGUAAUGGAUGCGUCCUGUGGACAGGAGGAUGGCUCCAUAUUCUGGUGCCCAUAGGACUGUGCUUAGGCGGAGCAGCAGCCCUGUAUUGGAGUAAGCCAAUGGACACCAAGAUGGCUCCAUGCUUAGAUGAGCCCGUUGUGGGCGGGGGCUGCAGAGAAGUAUUGGACAUAGCCUGGGGACAGGAGGAUGGCUUUGUGGUUUGCUGCCCUUCAGACACACAGAGAGGAGCGGCCCAUCAGUAAUGGAUGCGUCCUGUGGACAGGAGGAUGGCUCCAUGGACUGGUGCCCUAAGGAUCAUGCUGAGGCGGAUCAUCAGCCCCAUAUUGGACGAAGCUGAUGGACACCAAGAUGGCUCCAUGCUUCGAUGAGCCCAUAGCGGGCGGGCGCUGCAGAGAAGUGUGAGUCGUGGUCAGUGGUCCCCUGUUGGCAGGGGUGGCAUUCUGAGAGCUUCUCCUCAUUUCAGUUGUGAUUUACUCAGUCAAUGAAUGAGAGAGUAGCCCCUUGGGUGAAAAAUGAGGACCCAUAGUGAGUCGAUGAUGACUGUGGAGGUGUACGAGUGAGGACAGUGACUUGCCUCUGGAUCUGAGUUCCUUCCCUGAGUGCAAUGCACGAGGAUUGCAGAACAGUCUCAGUGUGGGAGAUGCCAAGGGCAGGGUCACAUAUAUUAUUAUUUGUUACCUUUUCUGCCCUCUGUUUCUCAGAUUCAUCUUGGCCUGUGGACAGGAGGUUGGCUCCUUGGUCUCGUGCCCUUAGGACCUUCCUGAGAGGAGCGGCCCAUCAGUAAUGGAUGCAUCUUCUGGACAGGAGGAUGGUUCUAUGGACAGUUGCCCUAAGGAUCGCGCUCUGGCGGAGCAGCAGCCCUGUAUUGGACGAGGCUGAUGGACACCCAGAUGACUCCAUGCUCAAGUGUAAUGAGCCCAUUGCGUGUGGGGGCUGCAAAGAAGUAUUGGAAUUGGCCUGUGGACGGAGGAUGGCUCUAUGGUCUGGUGCUCCUUGGACCCUCCUGAGGGGAGCUGCCCCUGAGUAAGGGCUGGCUUUGCUGGUUGUGCGGCUCCUCCUGCAUCACUGCUGUUGGCCUCCAGUUUGGAGCUUGUGGACAACAUGAGUCCUGACCUUCACUCCAGUCCUCAUGAAAUCAACUUCGUACACUCCACUUUAUUGCUCAUUAAAUGAGUAACUUGUGAAAGCCGAGCAGCAGGGAUCCACGGGCGGAGGGCCUGAGCUUUGCUGCCAUGUCUUCUGGGGCAUUCCCCAGGAUGGGCACCCUUGGCCGGCCGGACCCUCUCAGAUGAUGGUCUUGGCUGCCAAAUCCCCAGUCAGCAGAGGGACCUCACAAGGAGUGUUCGGAGUUCUUGCCUUGGGUGGACGGCUUGCUCCUAGAAUGCACACGACUCCAGUCAAUAACCUUUCUGUAAUGAUGACGUCCUUUGUGGUUCAAUGGUGCCUGUACCAUGCUGAUUAAAUUAUCCUCCAGUCGUGAAGGGUGUGCCUUUCCCUCUGGGUAAGGAGAAUAUCAUACAAUGUGGAUAGACCUCAGCUGUCUUACUCGUGAUUUAAGAAUCACGUGUGUCACCUAUGUGACAAAGGACAAUAUAGAUGGGGGAGACGGGAGAGUUCAAAGAGCUCUAGGAAGAAUGUCAGUUGGGGCAGGCCAGGCCAGGCUCGUCCACGAACCGCUAAGGCCACGAAACACGUCCUUCUACCAGGGAGCGGACAGAUGGAGGUGUCCUGGCUUUGCAGGGGCCACCUGCUACAGAGCAGCUGAGGCUGCAGCUGGGGGCCACAGAAGAGUGAGCGGCCCGGAGGGGUGCACAGGGCAGAUAGUGGGUGUCCGGGGACAUGUGGUCAGAAGGCUCAGCUGCAAAGGAAGUCCAUUUCAUUCUUACUCCCAAGGAGAGCGCUGGGCUGAGCUCAGUGACAGACGACCCUGAUCCAAAUGAGAGUGGCUACACCAAAGGACCGCUGCCCAGCCCAGGACGGGAGCACCGCCUGGGGGUACCUCGGAGCCUGGGGGAGUGCCGACCGACCCAGGGAGCAGGCCCUGUGGAUGUCCUCCAGCAUGGAGCCCCUGGAGAUGUGGCUGCGAGCCGCUGGCUUCCCAGAGGAUGACGGCCCUGGGUGUAGUAGCACCUCUGCAGGGUGAGCUGUGCUUUUCCUGACUCUUCUCUGCAUGCUGUGUGCCUGUGGCAAGGGCCAGUCGAGGACAUGUGGAGACUGCAGUGGUCAUAGAUGAGCUUUACGCAGGGCCAGGGUGUGUGUGAAUGCCUCCGAGAGGGGCCACGAUCCAUGCGCCUCUCCCGGAGCCUUAGUGUGCAGAGGCUGGGCCAUUUCUGGCAGCUGCUUCUCCAAGUAGAGGCCAGGGCUGGCCAGAGAAGUCCCUCGUCUCUGGUCCCUCCAAGGGGUGGAGGCUCUGCAUCCUUGCAGUGUCCUUUCAAACAGCUUGAGUUGGGGCUCAAGGUUACCUUCCCACCUGUGCCUGAGUCUCUAAUUAUGCAGACAAUUGCACUCUGUUAGCUGAUUACGUCACAGAGAACGCAAAACACAGGAGCAUUGAGUUUUUCUCAUCAAAGACCCUAGAGCAAUUAAGGUCACAUACAAUAAUAAUUUUAAAUAAUAUGUUUUUUUUCUUAUUACCAAAAAAAUACGAGAGAAUCUUCUUGGUCCCACUACUCAAAGACAACCACUGCCCACAUUUGGUGACCAGCCUCUGUUUUCUUGUUUACUUCUGAAAAUUAGGAGUGUGUGUGUGUGUGUGUGUGUGUGUGUGUGUGUGUGUGUGUGUGUGUGAUUGAACUCUUCACUGUUAUCCUGUAUCUUUACCAAACUAUACUAUUAAGUGGUUUCCUGUUCUGUGUUCCUUAAUGGUGACAGAGUCUUCUAGCUACCGACUGUAUCACAGUCAGCUUCGUGGGUUUGCUUUUGUUGGCAUUAGGAUGCACUUAAAAUCCAAAUUCUGCAGUUCAAGGUGGGCUUCUGUGUUCACCCUCAUAUCUCUGGUUCAUUCCCCGCAGUUCAUUCUGAAAGCCCAGCAGCGCGAGUGCCUUGUGGCCAAUCUGCCCCCACCCUAACUUCAUGGCCACGUGUGUUCUGGAGUCAGCUUGAGCAGCAUCCAUUUCUCUGGGGAUUGCCAAAGUCUGUGCCUUUGCAGGUCUGAUGUGGGACUUCUGUUUCUCGGUCUGAGCUCCUUUUGCACCUGUGUCUGAAGAACUCCCUGCUUCUUCUUUGCUUAUUUGUAUCUGAAUUGCCAGCUCAGGCUUUGCCCUUCUCAGUUUCUCACUUAGUUUUUACUUUUGUCAAAGUUAUGCAUACGCCUCGUUUUAAGAGUCAGAUAGUUCUGUGCCAUUGUCACAGGAGCAUCCGCCCUCCCACCUUCCCGGCUCCACCCAGGUUUUCCGCACUGUAGCGGCAGCUUACAAUUCCCUGGCUGAUUCUUUUGACAUUUACAUCCAUAAUUCUAAGUAAUAUUCUUAUUUUUCUACUUCAUGAUUUUCUUUUCUUAUUUUUCUUAAAAGCUUAGCCAUUUGUCUUGACUUAAAAAAAAAAAAAAAAGCUCAGGCAUUGUCUU